rnacentral:rRNA from 1 species
GAUCAUGGCUCAGGAUGAACGCUGGCGGCGUGCUUAACACAUGCAAGUCGAACGGGGAUUAUUUCAUUGAAGCUUCGGCAGAUUUGGUUUAAUCCUAGUGGCGGACGGGUGAGUAACGCGUGGGUAACCUGCCUUAUACAGGGGGAUAACAGUCAGAAAUGGUUGCUAAUACCGCAUAAGCGCACAGGGCCGCAUGGCCCGGUGUGGAAAACUGAGGUGGUAUAAGAUGGACCCGCGUUGGAUUAG